rnacentral:rRNA from 1 species
CGCGGUGAAUACGUUCCCGGGCCUUGUACACACCGCCCGUCAAGCCAUGGAAGCUGGGGGUACCUGAAGUGCGUAACCGCAAGGAUCGCCCUAGGGUAAAACCGGUAACUGGGGCU